rnacentral:rRNA from 1 species
CAUUAAGUUGGGCACUCUAAGUUGACUGCCGGUGACAAACCGGAGGAAGGUGGGGAUGACGUCAAAUCAUCAUGCCCCUUAUGAUUUGGGCUACACACGUGCUACAAUGGACAAUACAAAGGGUAGCCAAACCGCGAGGUCAAGCAAAUCCCAUAAAGUUGUUCUCAGUUCGGAUUGUAGUCUGCAACUCGACUACAUGAAGCUGGAAUCGCUAGUAAUCGUAGAUCAGCAUGCUACGGUGAAUACGUUCCCGGG